rnacentral:rRNA from 1 species
GAUGAACGCUGGCGGCGUGCCUAAUACAUGCAAGUCGAGCGAACAGACGAGGAGCUUGCUCCUCUGACGUUAGCGGCGGACGGGUGAGUAACACGUGGAUAACCUACCUAUAAGACUGGGAUAACUUCGGGAAACCGGAGCUAAUACCGGAUAACAUGUUGAACCGCAUGGUUCAACAGUGAAAGACGGUUUUGCUGUCACUUAUAGAUGGAUCCGCGCCGCAUUAGCUAGUUGGUAAGGUAGCGGCUUACCAAGGCAACGAUGCGUAGCCGACCUGAGAGGGUGAUCGGCCACACUGGAACUGAGACACGGUCCAGACUCCUACGGGAGGCAGCAGUAGGGAAUCUUCCGCAAUGGGCGAAAGCCUGACGGAGCAACGCCGCGUGAGUGAAGAAGGUCUUCGGAUCGUAAAACUCUGUUAUUAGGGAAGAACAAAUGUGUAAGUAACUAUGCACGUCUUGACGGUACCUAAUCAGAAAGCCACGGCUAACUACGUG